rnacentral:rRNA from 1 species
UCCUACGGGGGGCAGCAGUCGGGAAUAUUGCGCAAUGGAGGCAACUCUGACGCAGUGACGCCGCGUAUAGGAAGAAGGUUUUCGGAUUGUAAACUAUUGUCCACAGGGAAGAAAAAGACUGUACCUGUGAAGAAAGCUCCGGCUAACUACGUGCCAGCAGCCGCGGUAAUACGUAGGGAGCAAGCGUUAUCCGGAUUUAUUGGGUGUAAAGGGAACGCAGGCGGUCUUUUAAGUCUGAUGUGAAAGCCUUCGGCUUAACCGGAGUAGUGCAUUGGAAACUGGGAGACUUGAGUGCAGAAGAGGAG